UUUCCGUAGGUGAACCUGCGGAAGGAUCAUUACCUAGAGUUGUAGGCUUUGCCUGCUAUCUCUUACCCAUGUCUAUUGCGUACUAUUUGUUUCCUCGGCGGGCUUGCUCGCCGAUUGGACAACUAUUAUACUCUUUUGUAAUUGUAAUCAGCGUCUGAAUAAACUAUAAUAGUUACAACUUUCAACAACGGAUCUCUUGGUUCUGGCAUCGAUGAAGAACGCAGC
rnacentral:misc_RNA from 1 species